CCACAAAACCCGAAGGCGCAUUGAACGAAAAGGCCGACCCUCGUGGCCGGCCGAGGGAUGAUGAGGUCCUCCUCGGAGGACCUCCGCAAUCCCGGGGCGUCUCGUCUUACGUCCGCUCGUCGGGCGAAAGUGAGGCGCACCAAGAGCAUACGCGUUGGUACCCGAAAGAUGGUGAACUAUGCCUGGCCAGGACGAAGUCAGGGGAAACCCUGAUGGAGGUCCGUAGCGAUUCUGACGUGCAAAUCGAUCGUCAGAGCUGGGUAUAGGGGCGAAAGACUAAUCGAACCAUCUAGUAGCUGGUUCCCUCCGAAGUUUCCCUCAGGAUAGCUGGCGUUCGGAGAUUCGAAUCCCAUCCGGUAAAGCGAAUGAUUAGAGGCCGUGGGAUCGAAACGAUUUCAACCUAUUCUCAAACUUUAAAUGGGUGGGAACCGCGGCUUGCUUGAAAGUGAAGCCGCGGACCCGGAUCA
rnacentral:rRNA from 1 species